UGAUAUCCCAGAAGAGGUCUAUUAAGAGAGAAUUCAAUUCUUUUCAAGACAUAUCAAAAUUUAUUGUAAAGGUAUUCACUUCAUCGAUCUGAUCGAUGAGUUUUAAUACUCUUUGCAGUUAGUUUUUUUAUUUCAUUACAGAAUCAUUUAAACAUUUCAUUGAUUCAAACUUGUGCUUCAUAAGUGUUGGGUAUAAAAUACCCCCCGACCG
rnacentral:lncRNA from 1 species